rnacentral:rRNA from 1 species
AAUCAACGCUGGCGGCGUGCCUCAGACAUGCAAGUCGAACGAGAAAGUUUCCUUCGGGGAAUGAGUAAAGUGGCGCACGGGUGAGUAACACGUAGGUAAUCUACCUUCGGGUGGGGAAUAACCCAGGGAAACUUGGGCUAACACCGCAUAAUGCAGCGGCACCACAUGGUGACAGUUGUUAAAGCGGGGGAUUUUAGGACCUCGCGCCUGAAGAGGAGCCUGCGGCGGAUUAGCAGUUGGUAAGGUAACGGCUUACCAAGGCGACGAUCCGUAACCGGCCUGAGAGGGCGGGUCGGUCACACUGACACUGACAUACGGGUCAGACUCCUACGGGAGGCAGCAGUCGGGUAAUUUUGGGCAAUGGGCGAAAGCCUGACCCAGCAACGCCGCGUGAAGGAU